ACGACCGAUGAGUAACCAUUAAGAUUGAAGAGCAUAAUUAGACCCGUGUCCUGUGGUGGUCGCUUUGUUUCAUCGGAGCGUGGUUAUGCAUGGAAAAGAAGUCCUCCCCUUCUUUCCACAUCUUCGCCGCUCCUUCUUCUACCUCAAUCCACCGACUUAUCUGUCACUAAACAGGCAACGGCAUGCCUUCAUUCUCAAAUAUGGCAUUUCCACAGCUACAAACCUCACCACCAAUCUCCCAUCCCCGUGUGCAAAUCAUCACUCAGUACCGGACCCCAAUGUCUUAUACUUUUCUACUCGCAUCUAUGAAUUUACAAAGCUUAAUAAUUUUGGUCAGGCUAUCGUCAUCUCCUCUCAAAUGCUCUCUCAGGGUCUCAUGUUUGACACACAUGUCUUGCCUUCCGUCAUCAAGGCAUGUACUGGGUUAUGUUUCUUGAAAACCGGGAAGCUGGUUCAUUGUUUAGCAUCUGUGUCUGGGUUUGAUUCGGAUUCGCGUGUUUUAUCCUCUUUGGUACAUAUGUAUCUUAAAUGCAACAGGAUAAACGAUGCUCACAAGGUGUUCGAUAGGCUGCCUCAGCCGGAUGUUGUUGCUUACAGUGCUUUGCUUUCAGGUUAUGCACGAAUGGGGCGUGUGAAAGAGACAAAGGAGUUGUUUUCUAAAAGGAGAGACGAGGGUGUGGAACUGAAUUUGGUAUCCUGGAAUGGGAUGAUUACUGGGUUUAACCAUAGCGGACACCAUCUGGAAGCAGUUAUUAUGUUUCAAAAGAUGCAUUCAGAAGGAUUUAAGCCUGAUGGAACUAGUAUAUCUAGUGUGCUCUCAGCAGUUGGUGACCUGGAAAUGUUGAACAUGGGAUUCCAGAUUCAUGGAUAUCUUAUCAGAAAAGGUCUAGGGCCCGACAAGUGUGUGGCUAGUGCACUUAUUGAUAUGUAUGGGAAAUGUGCAUGCACAUUUGAGAUGUCGCAAGCGUUUGAUGAGAUGCAUCAGGUGGAUAUAGGUGCUUGUAAUGCUUUAGUCAUGGGACUCUCCCGAAAUGGUCUUGUUGACAAUGCUUUGAAGGUGUUUAGACAAUUCAAGGGCCAGGGGAUGGAACUGAAUGUUGUUUCAUGGACAUCAAUUAUUGCUAGUUGCUCCCAGAAUGGGAAGGAUAUUGAGGCUUUGGAGCUUUUCAGGGAAAUGCAAGUUGUGGGGAUAAAGCCAAACUCUGUAACAAUUCCAUGCUUGCUUCCAGCUUGUGGGAAUAUUGCAGCAUUAAUGCAUGGGAAAGCAGCGCAUUGCUUUUCUCUCAAAGGUGGAAUUUCCAGUAAUGUCUACGUGGGUAGUGCACUGAUUGACAUGUAUGCAAAGUGUGGAAGAAUACAGCUUUCUAGGCUUUGUUUUGAUAUGAUGCCCACCAGAAACUUGGUUUCUUGGAAUGCAUUAAUGGCUGGAUAUGCAAUGCAUGGAAAGGCUAACGAAGCUGUUAACAUCUUUCAAUGGAUGCAAAGGAGUGGGCAAAAGCCUGAUUUUGUUAGCUUCAUUUGUGUAUUAUCUGCAUGCAGCCAAGGUGGUCUAACAGAUGAAGGUUGGUACUAUUUUCACAGCAUGUCCAAAGAUUAUGGUAUUGAAGCUAGAUUGGAGCAUUAUGCAUGCAUGGUGAAUCUUCUGGGUCGUGCUGGGAGGCUGCAAGAAGGGUAUACAAUGAUACAGCAAAUGCCUUUCAAACCUGACGCUUGUGUUUGGGGUGCGUUGCUUAGUUCAUGCCGAGUAUACAAUCAUGUUAGUUUAGGUGAGAUUGCUGCAAAGGAACUCUUUGAGUUAGAACCAAGAAAUCCUGGGAACUACAUUCUUCUUUCAAAUAUUUAUGCUUCCAAGGCAAUGUGGACUGAAGUACAUACAGUAAGGACUAUGAUGAACAGCAAGGGCUUGAGGAAAAAUCCUGGCUGUAGUUGGAUUGAGAUCAAGGGCAAAGUACAUAUGCUCCUUGCUGGUGACAACUCACAUUCACAAAUGACACAAAUUAUUGAAAAAUUGGCUGAAUUGAGCAUGGAAAUGAAAAAAUCAGGUUGCUUUCCAGAUAUUGACUUUGUGUUUCAAGAUGUUGAGGAACAGGACAAGGAGCAGAUAUUAUGUGGCCACAGUGAGAAAUUGGCUGUAGUGCUAGGGCUUCUGAAUACUAGCCCAGGGUCUCCCCUUCAAGUGAUUAAAAACCUUAGGAUCUGCGGUGAUUGUCAUGCUGUUAUAAAAUUCAUAUCCAGCUUUGAAAAGAGAGAAAUAUUUGUCAGAGACACUAAUCGCUUUCAUCAUUUUAAAGAUGGAGUUUGUUCUUGUAGAGAUUACUGAUGCCAGGACAAUGAUUUUCUUGCUUUGCUUUGUGUAUUGUAAAUAUUCUCAGACUCUUCUGCAUACCCUUAUUGAGACGGAACAGUGCUUUAAGCAUCAGCUAUUUAUUCUAUAUGAUGCUACUGGGAGGGAUUCCAUAAUUGCUGGAUCAUACAACUUAUCAAGAGUUUCUAUCAUGGAAGAAAUUAUGGAGUUCUUUUUGUUCUGCUGUUAAAUCCAGCCCUAAUUACAAACUGAUUUCAAAAUCAGGGUUUGCUCAUAGUUGUCAAUGGCAUGCCUCAAGCUCCAGAUGCACGGCCAACAGGCUCCAAGAGUAGUGCCUCUAGUCCCCAAAGGCUGGCGUUGUCACUCAGUUGCAGGCCUACUGCUUAGAGAGGAAAAGCUUGGAGAAGAAGAAGAAGCGGAUGAAACAAUAGCUUUCGAGGUUGCCCUUGCAAAAUAAAGAGGGCUGUGAAGCAACAAUCAACUCUGAUACCAUUCAGUGAUUCACGUGUAUAGGCUGUAAACACUCUGUUGUUUCAGUAACAGAGGUUCCCUAUUUAUAUGCAUUUGUGGAGUAUGAGAUAAGUAUAGCAGAUGAUAUAACUAUAUACAGAAGAUAAGAUGGAUGUGCUAUAGCUAGAUAUAAGUGCAGAUGAGAUUUGGGUCUGGUAAACUCUCCAAGUUUGUAGGCGUCAUGACCCCUUUGCCUGUUUAAUAUUUGCUUACAUGUAAAUGAGAUUAGUGCAUUUCCAUUUAUAAAGGGGAAUUUCACUAUGCACCUGAACCAUUUUGUGCAAUCAGUUAGCAUUUCCUUCAGCGCUGCUUUGUAAACUGUGCGGCAGCAACCUGUUAUGCUUCAUCAGGAACCUAUAUUCUCUGGACAUAAUAUUGGCGUUGGGGUGCUGCACCUACCAUUGACAAAAGCUUGCCCAAGUCCAUUCCAUAUUUGGAUAAGCUAAGGGAAAAUAUCGGUGGCUGCAGCAGAAGUGCAGAGGAGUUUUAGCAGAACUGCUUAAAGCAAUCCGAACUACGGGCAUUUGGUGUAAUAUUUAAGAUGUUUGUUGAACAAGAAAAGCAAAAGUUGUAAUUCGACUUUUCUGUUGUUAUUUUAGGUUUUUGAGCUUACGGUGAGUGCAUUACACAAGUACCACAGAAAUUUUUGCGAAAUAAAAUUAUGUUAAAUUAGAAGUC